UACAGAGGAUGCAAGCGUUAUCCGGAAUGAUUGGGCGUAAAGCGUCUGUAGGUGGCUUUUAAGUCCGCCGUCAAAUCCCAGGGCUCAACUCUGGACAGGCGGUGGAAACUACCAAGCUGGAGUACGGUAGGGCAGAGGGAAUUUCCGGUGGAGCGGUGAAAUGCGUAGAGAUCGGAAAGAACACCAACGGCGAAAGCACUCUGCUGGCCGACACUGACACUGAGAGACGAAGCUAGGGAGCGAAUGGG
rnacentral:rRNA from 1 species